UAGCUCAGUGGCAGAGCAGCUGCCUUGCAUGCAGAAGGUUCCUGGUUCGAUCCCCAACAUCUCAA